CUCCUUUUCCAGUUCGUCAGCAUGGUGAGUGGGUGUUCGCACGUUUGUGUGACAGGUGUCUCCCUUCGAACUCGUUAUGCACUUGGCACGUUCCCCAUCUGACG